rnacentral:rRNA from 1 species
UACGGAGGGGGCUAGCGUUAUUCGGAAUUAUUGGGCGUAAAGGGCGCGUAGGCGGCAUGGCAAGUGGAAGGUGAAAUCCCUCGGCUCAACUGAGGAACUGCCCUCCAAACUGCUUUGCUUGAGUCCGGGAGAGGUGAGUGGAAUUCCCAGUGUAGCGGUGAAAUGCGUAGAUAUUGGGAGGAACACCAGUGGCGAAGGCGGCUCACUGGACCGGAACUGACGCUGAGGCGCGAAAGCGUGGGGAGCAAACGGG